rnacentral:rRNA from 1 species
UACGUAGGGCGCAAGCGUUGUCCGGAAUCAUUGGGCGUAAAGAGCUCGUAGGCGGUGUGUCGCGUCGGCCGUGAAAACCUGCAGCUUAACUGUGGGCGUGCGGUCGAUACGGGCAUCACUGGAGUUCGGCAGGGGAGACUGGAAUUCCUGGUGUAGCGGUGAAAUGCGCAGAUAUCAGGAGGAACACCAGUGGCGAAGGCGGUGGUCUGGGCCGGAACUGACGCUGAGGAGCGAAAGCGUGGGUAGCAAACAGG